rnacentral:ribozyme from 1 species
AGAACUAGGGUCUGUGAAUGGGGUAGGAUCCGACGCCUCCUGAAGGCUACAUAGGCUCUCCUACCCAACUCCUAUUCUGGUAUGUCCUAGCCAUACAGACUGUGCACAUGUAGUCCCGCUUAUCUGAGCUUGGGUAAACGGGUCCAAUCCCAACCCCUUGGGAAGAUGGGGCUGCAUGGCUAAGGCAGAAGGG